UUGCGCAAGUGGUGUUUUUACAAGCAAUCUUCGCAAUCCUCUGUCUUCGCUGCGCGCCUAUUCUUAUCACCAGAAUCACUGCCCGGACAUAGAGUCCACUGCGGCCCGGCGAAUCAGGCCUGCCGCGGCCGCCAAUCCCACAGGGUUGAGCCGGCCCCCGGGCUACACACUGUCCAGAAGACGGAGUGAGGUGAGCCGGCGUCAAAAGCGCCGAGCACGGACAAAAUCUCAAAGGGCGGCCGACGGGCCGCCCU
rnacentral:sRNA from 17 species